GAAAUGCGAUACGUAAUGUGAAUUGCAGGAGUAGUGAAUCAUCAAACCUUUGAACGCAAGUUGCGCCCCCAGGCACUCCUGGGAGCACGCUUGUUUGAGCGUCACCCACCUUCCUCGCACUCUCUCCCUGUCGUGGGGAAGCAGAGCAAGGACACGGGUCCCUCUUCCCUCGUGGUCGAGGCACUUCAGUCGGAGUGGAGGUACAGCUAAGCGGAACAGCUCACCAGUGCAGCAGUCGGACAGCCUUGCUGAACGCUCUGUGCUCGAGCUGAUUUGCCUGCAGUUACUUCCAGGGAAGCCUUUCCAAAGGCAACACCCUUUAUCCGUGACCUCAAAUCAAGCGGAGCCACCCGCUGAAUUUAA
rnacentral:misc_RNA from 1 species